rnacentral:rRNA from 1 species
UACAGAGGGGGCAAGCGUUGUUCGGAAUUACUGGGCGUAAAGGGCGCGUAGGCGGCCUGCUAAGUCGAUCGUGAAAUCCCCGGGCUUAACCCGGGAACUGCGACCGAUACUGGUUGGCUUGAAUUCGGGAGAGGGAUGCGGAAUUCCAGGUGUAGCGGUGAAAUGCGUAGAUAUCUGGAGGAACACCGGUGGCGAAGGCGGCAUCCUGGACCGGUAUUGACGCUGAGGCGCGAAAGCUAGGGGAGCAAACGGG